rnacentral:rRNA from 1 species
AUUGAACGCUGGCGGCAGGCUUAACACAUGCAAGUCGAGCGGAGUGAUGGUGCUUGCACUAUCACUUAGCGGCGGACGGGUGAGUAAUGCUUAGGAAUCUGCCUAUUAGUGGGGGACAACAUCUCGAAAGGGAUGCUAAUACCGCAUACGUCCUACGGGAGAAAGCAGGGGAUCACUUGUGACCUUGCGCUAAUAGAUGAGCCUAAGUCGGAUUAGCUAGUUGGUGGGGUAAAGGCCUACCAAGGCGACGAUCUGUAGCGGGUCUGAGAGGAUGAGCCGCCACACUGGGACUGGGACACGGCCCAGACUCCUACGGGAGGCAGCAGUGGGGAAUAUUGGACAAUGGGGGGAACCCUGAUCCAGCCAUGCCGCGUGUGUGAAGAAGGCCUUAUGGUUGUAAAGCACUUUAAGCGAGGAGGAGGCUUACCUAGUUAAUACCUGGGAUAAGUGGACGUUACUCGCAGAAUAAGCACCGGCUAACUCUGUGCCAGCAGCCGCCGUAA